UACAGUUUGUAAUUCUUAAGAAUUUGUUUACUCUUCCUCAAGCUAUACAGCUGUUCAAAAGAAAUAUAUCAUAGGUUGACUCCUUAUACAAACCUCAGCGCUAGUACAAAAUCCGAUUUAUCAAGAUGAGUCCAAAAGUUUACUAUACAUUCUGAAUAAUAAGAAGUGGUUUGAAUUAGUUUAUGUUUUAUUUAUGUUUAAAUCUGGUUUUACAAAAAUUAACAAUACUGCACAUCCCAUCAAAUAUAAACCAACAAAACAUUCUAGAGUGUUACAAAAAUAGUAUUGUAUAUAAAGUUUUUAUUUGGAAUAAAUAUUUUAUAACAAUUUAUGCAAAUAAAACUUUAUAAAAGAGAACUAUCUUUGGUAAUCAUGAGCAGUUUAAGGAACAAAAGAAUAAUUAUGCAUUGAAAAAUAUAAUUACAAUUUGAAGGUAUUAUAAACCUCAUCACACCAUGUACGGAACAUAGUAAUGUGGAGCCAAGAAGUAUAAGGAGAAGUUACCCCAGUCAAUAAAUAGGAGGAUAAAAGUAUUAUUUCAUCCCACUUUUUCCAAUUAAAUCUGAUAAAAAUGUAUAGCUUGAAAAGAAAAUUGUUAUUGUUGUAGAUCUAGGAUAAGUAUUAAAAUUUUCUUUAGUAAUUUGAUUUAAAAAAAAUCAAAUUAUUAUUUUGAAUUUCGUGAUUAUUUCAUUGUAUUAUGUAUAUUGUUAUUAAAUUAUCAAUU